AAAUUAAUUCGUUUUUAACUAUUUAUUCCAGUCUAAUUUAUUUAUUUAUUUUGUUCCUUUCAACGACGGCCUAGCCAACUUUUAAUUAGUUUUUAUUUACGAUCAAAUGUGCGGCAUAGCCACAUAUUCACUUUUAGGGAUCCUACCAAAGCCUGAUGAUGGGUCGAAACCGAGCCCGAAAUAUAGCAACAAAGAAGCACUAAAAAGUUUUAUUUUAACUAUUGCCGAUUAAGUCCAA